AUAAUUCAUAUGUAUCAUAUUGUCUAAAAGAUCAAUAUACAAUACAAUCGGGUACAACUUUAAAUACAUAAAUAUAAAAUCUAAACAUGACAAGUACUUAUUACAGCACUAGUAGUUGGAUCUAUAUUAUAAAAUUACAAAUAUACAGGGCUAAAACUUGAUAAAUACUAAAUAGUAUAGAUAGUUGGGCGAAUGCAAAAAAAAAUCUGCAAAUUAGCCUAUGCCCAUGGUUUUUUUUUCUAAAGUGGGAUGCAGCCCACUUGGUCUUUCGGCCCAGGCCCAGGCCGACCGCCGCUUAAUCCAGUGGAUGGAUAAGAGAGCGAGUGGAGGGGGAGCGGUCGUGUUUGACCGCAUCCCUGCCUCUCCGCCUCUCCACCCCCACCUGAUCCCGACGACGAUGGCCGCCCGAGCCCGGUGCCGGCGAGCUCUAGGAGGGGCCGCCCUCCUCCGCAGCGUAGCCAGGGAGGUUGAGGCCGGCUGGGCCCCAGGCGCCUGAGCGGAGGGCGGUGGAGGCGGUGGGCUUGCUGUUGGCGGCGGCGGCGGCGAAGCGGGGCCGGGGGGCGCGGUGGCGUUGGGGCCGGGGGGCGCGGUGGCUUUGGGGCCGGGGGGCGCGGUGACUCGGAGGACGACGCCUUGUCCUCGAUCUGCAUGCCCGUGGAGGUGUUGAGGUUGAGGAUGGGGGCGCGGCGCUGAGGCCGGGCGAGGGGCACGGCCGACGGUGCAGGGGCCGAGGCGCGGCCGCGGGCGACCGGCCGAACGGGCGUGGUGCCGUCUCGAGAGGAGCAGCGUCGGGGCCGACGUCUCCUCUGCACUCGUGGCGUCGGACGUCGUGAGGACCCGCACCGGCGACGAGUUUGCCAACUGGGAGGACGGGGCUUCGAAAGAUGCCACGGGCGCGGCGCGGCGUGGCUGAGCGCAGGGCAGCGGCCGCACUACGGCCGGGCCAGGCCGGGCGGACGGGCGAACGGCCGGCGCGACCGGACAGCGAAGGCGGGGCGCGGGCGCUACCGGACGAGAGGUGCGGCCGGCGGCGUGGAGGCCAUGGUGCGGCCGCGGGCGGAGCGCCACGAGUUGCUUGGCCUUCUCGCUCUUCGGAGAGCAAAGUGCUGAUAACGUGUUAGCGUGAAAACGAGAAGUGAUUGAUUGAAUGAAUCAGUCUGUUCUUUCCAUUGAUCAAUUGGGUAUAUAUACAAGUAGAGGGGUGCCUCAAGAGAGCACCGACGAAGGAAGAGGCACCCGUACCGGACACAGGCGUCCGCACAGGGGAAGGGAUGCGACCCUACGGACACAGGCGUCCGUACGGCGCUUUGGACAAAAUAACCUAUUUCUAACACUUGUGAAAAAGCUUUUGUAACUAAUCGUUUAGGGGAUUUUGGUCUAUUAUUAUGAAUUUUAGGUUUUCUUUGUAUAACAGGUAGUUUAGUGUUUAGGGGCAAUUAAUCGGCACAAUAUUUUGAGGCAAUGAGCAUGCCAAAAUUAGCAUGAAUUACCAUCAAUCUAGGCAUUUAUCAAAUCAAUCAAUGAUUACCACUAUGGGCCGGCCCAAAAAGCACUUACCUGCGCCCCUGGUCUUUCUUUUUCUUCAAAUCCAUAUUUUUCUCUUUUGUAUGCAAAGGUCGUUGAUUCGGCAAUUGAUGUGCCAGCUCCGGAAAACCGGCUGCUCCUUGCUCCGAUGAAAAGGAAAGAAAAAUUAUUAUUAUUAUUAUUCAAUUUUUACAAAAAAAUAUAAAAUGUUUGAAAAAAUAUUUGCCAUAUAUUAAAAAAUGUUCAGCCAGGUCAUCCCGCGCAAGAUCAGCUGCCUCAUUAGCCGCCCACUUGGCAUUGCGCUUGACCGUCAAGAUUACUAGAAAGGAAAAACGGCCGACUGCUCGGCACAAGCAAGCAACGCUGAUCAAAGACUGAUGUUGUGGAGUUCGGUAAGCAAGCUGUUAAUCAUGGCGCACAUGAGCUCGGUUUCUUGCCUAGGACAAUGGCGCCCGGUUUACUUGCCAAGGGCUACAUGCCCACCGUAAU
rnacentral:rRNA from 1 species